CGAUUGAGACCUGUAAUGUUAUUCUAUCCUUUUCUAGAAGUGGUCACAUAUUUUAAAAGAAUUCUGGCAAUUUUCGAAAUAUUUAUAUGCAUUUGACAUAUUGAUCGUAAAAAUCACGAAAUUUCAAAACAUGUGUUAAACAUAAACUUCGUUCAGAAUUGUAAUUUGUCAACGUUCAUUAUGUAUUGAUAUUAUAGAUUCAGUAAUUUCCCAUCUGGGAAUCUGUUGCAUAACCAUCAGCAGCAGAUAGUGAUACUGCUAUCAACUCGAUUUCGUAUUCAAUUUUAAAAUAUUAAACUAUGAUUUUAUUUCUAUA